AGAGUUUGAUCCUGGCUCAGGAUGAACGCUAGCGGCAGGCUUAACACAUGCAAGUCGAGGGGUAACAGGGUGCUUGCACCGCUGACGACCGGCGCACGGGUGCGUAACGCGUAUACAAUCUACCUUGUACUAGGGGAUAGCCUUUAGAAAUGAAGAUUAAUACCCUAUGGUCUAUUUGAAUGGCAUCAUUUAAAUAGUAAAGGUUACGGUACAAGAUGAGUAUGCGUCCUAUUAGUUAGUUGGUAAGGUAACGGCUUACCAAGACAACGAUAGGUAGGGGCCCUGAGAGGGGGAUCCCCCACACUGGUACUGAGACACGGACCAGACUCCUACGGGAGGCAGCAGUGAGGAAUAUUGGACAAUGGGCGAGAGCCUGAUCCAGCCAUGCCGCGUGCAGGAAGACGGCCCUAUGGGUUGUAAACUGCUUUUAUACAGGAAGAAACACUCCCUCGUGAGGGAGCUUGACGGUACUGUAAGAAUAAGGACCGGCUAACUCCGUGCCAGCAGCCGCGGUAAUACGGAGGGUCCGAGCGUUAUCCGGAAUCAUUGGGUUUAAAGGGUCCGUAGGCGGGCAGCUCAGUCAGUGGUGAGAGUUUGCAGCUCAACUGUAAAAUUGCCAUUGAUACUGGUUGUCUUGAAUUAAUGUGAAGUGGUUAGAAUAAGUAGUGUAGCGGUGAAAUGCAUAGAUAUUACUUGGAAUACCAAUUGCGAAGGCAGAUCACUAACAUUAUAUUGACGCUGAUGGACGAAAGCGUGGGGAGCGAACAGGAUUAGAUACCCUGGUAGUCCACGCCGUAAACGAUGGAUACUAGCUGUUCGGUAGCAAUACUGAGUGGCUAAGCGAAAGUGAUAAGUAUCCCACCUGGGGAGUACGUUCGCAAGAAUGAAACUCAAAGGAAUUGACGGGGGCCCCGCACAAGCGGU
rnacentral:rRNA from 1 species